UAAAACCUGCGAAAUAUUAUUACGCAUCUUCUGAAUGCAACUCAGACACUUUAAUUAAGCUAAGGCCUC
rnacentral:tRNA from 1 species